ACGCGUUGGGAGCUCUCCCAUAUGGUCGACCUGCAGGCGGCCGCGAAUUCACUAGUGAUUCGUAUUACCGCGGCUGCUGGCACGGAGUUAGCCGGAGCUUAUUCUCCCGGUACUGUCAUUAUCAUCCCGGGUAAAAGAGCUUUACAACCCUAAGGCCUUCAUCACUCACGCGGCAUGCUGGAUCAGGCUUUCGCCCAUUGUCCAAUAUUCCCCACUGCUGCCUCCCGUAGGAGUCUGGGCCGUGUCUCAGUCCCAGUGUGGCUGAUCAUCCUCUCAGACCAGCUAAGGAUCGUCGCCUUGGUGCGCCUUUACCACACCAACUAGCUAAUCCUACGCGGGCUCAUCCCUCGGCGAUAAAUCUUUGGACUUACGUCGUCAUCCGGUAUUAGCAGUCAUUUCUAACUGUUAUUCCGAACCAAGGGGCAGAUUCCCACGCGUUACGCACCCGUGCGCCACUAAGGCCGAAGCCUUCGUUCGACUUGCAUGUGUUAGGCAUGCCGCCAGCGCUCGUUCUGAGCCAUGAUCAAACUCUAAUCGAAUUCCCGCGGCCGCCAUGGCG
rnacentral:rRNA from 1 species